rnacentral:rRNA from 1 species
AGCAGCCGCGGUAAUUCCAGCUCCAAUAGCGUAUAUUAAAGUUGUUGCAGUUAAAAAGCUCGUAGUUGAAUUUCGGGGUUAGUAAGUUGGUCAUGCCUCUGGUAUGAACUGGCUUUACUGAUUCCUCCUUCUUGAUGAACUGUAAUGUCAUUAAUUUGGUGUUGCAGGGAAUCAGGACUGUUACUUUGAAAAAUUAGAGUGUUUAAAGCAGGCAUACGCUUGGAUACAUUAGCACGGAAUAAUGAAAUAGGACGUUUGAUCCUAUUUUGUUGGUUUCUAGGAUUGACGUAAUGAUUAAUAGGGAUAGUUGGGGGCAUUAGUAUUCAAUUGUCAGAGGUGAAAUUCUUGGAUUUAUUGAAGACUAACUACUGCGAAAGCAUUUGCCAAGGAUGUUUUCAUUAAUCAAGAACGAAAGUUAGGGGAUCGAAGACGAUCAGAUACCGUCGUAGUCUUAACCAUAAACUAUGCCGACUAGGGAUCGGAUGAUGUUAUUUUUAAUGACUCAUUCGGCGUCCG